UACGAAGGGUGCAAGCGUUAAUCGGAAUUACUGGGCGUAAAGCGUGCGCAGGCGGUUCGGUAAGUCAGAUGUGAAAUCCCAGGGCUUAACCUUGGAACUGCAUUUUUAACUGCCGAGCUAGAGUAUGUCAGAGGGGGGUAGAAUUCCACGUGUAGCAGUGAAAUGCGUAGAGAUGUGGAGGAAUACCGAUGGCGAAGGCAGCCCCCUGGGAUAAUACUGACGCUCAUGCACGAAAGCGUGGGGAGCAAACAGG
rnacentral:rRNA from 1 species